CGGUGUUUAACUGGCGUGAUGUGGGACGUCCUACCGGUGGGCUUAGCCUCGCGAGGGGCGGCCCAACUAAUAUCCCGUCGCGGUGCUCUUUACUGAGUGUCGAGUCGGGCCGGUACGUUUACUUUGAACAAAUUAGAGUGCUUAAAGCAGGCUAUCCUCGUCUGAAUACUGCGUGCAUGGAAUAAUGGAAUAGGACCUCGGUUCUAUUUUGUUGGUUUUCGGAACCCCGAGGUAAUGAUUAAUAGGGACAGAUGGGGGCAUUCGUAUUGCGACGUUAGAGGUGAAAUUCUUGGAUCGUCGCAAGACGGACAGAAGCGAAAGCAUUUGCCAAAAAUGUUUUCAUUAAUCAAGAACGAAAGUUAGAGGUUCGAAGGCGAUCAGAUACCGCCCUAGUUCUAACCAUAAACGAUGCCAGCUAGCGAUCCGCCGAAGUUCCUCCGAUGACUCGGCGGGCAGCUUCCGGGAAACCAAAGCUUUUGGGUUCCGGGGGAAGUAUGGUUGCAAAGCUGAAACUUAAAGGAAUUGACGGAAGGGCACCACCAGGAGUGGAGCCUGCGGCUUAAUUUGACUCAACACGGGAAACCUCACCAGGCCCAGACACCGGAAGGAUUGACAGAUUGAUAGCUCUUUCUUGAUUCGGUGGGUGGUGGUGCAUGGCCGUUCUUAGUUGGUGGAGCGAUUUGUCUGGUUAAUUCCGAUAACGAACGAGACUCUAGCCUGCUAAAUAGGCGUACCUUAUGGUAUCGCGAAGGCCCCCGGCUUCGGCCGGUGGGUUUUUACUACCAACGUACAAACAAAUCUUCUUAGAGGGACAGGCGG
rnacentral:rRNA from 1 species